rnacentral:rRNA from 1 species
GGUGCGCUUAACACAUGCAAGUCGUGCGAUCGAACCAGACGGAUUUCCCUUCGGGGUCUGAGGGCUGGUCACGGAGCGGCGAACUGGUGAGUAACACGUAGCUAACCUACCUUCUUGACAGGAACAACCAUUCGAAAGGAUGGCUAAUGCCUGAUGUUGUGCGAGGUUGAUGACUUCGUUCCAAAGGCGGUCUUGCCGCCACAAGGAGAGGGGGCUGCGUCCUAUUAGCUUGUUGGUAGGGUAAUGGCCUACCAAGGCGAUAAUGGGUAGCUGGUCUGAGAGGAUGAUCAGCCACAUUGGGACUGAGAUACGGCCCAGACUCCUACGGGAGGCAGCAGUGGGGAAUAUUGGACAAUGGACGAAAGUCCGAUCCAGCGACACCGCGUGGGGGAUGAAGGCUUUCGGGUUGUAAACCCCUUUUCUGGAGGAAGAAUAAGGUUGGGAGGAAAUGCCCAUCCGAUGACGGUACUCCAGGAAUAAGCAUCGGCAAACUUCGUGCCAGCAGCCGCGGUAAGACGAAGGAUGCAAGCGUUAUCCGGAAUUACUGGGCGUAAAGGACGUCUAGGCGGUUGGAUAAGUCAUUUGUGAAAUCCCAGGGCUUAACCCUGGAAGGUCUUGUGAUACUGUCCGGCUUGGGUGUAGGAGAGGAGAGCGGAACUCACAGAGUAGCGGUGGAAUGCGUAGAUACUGUGAGGUACCCCGAUGGCGAAGGCAGCUCUCUGGCCUAUUACCGACGCUGAAGCGUGAAAGCGUGGGGAGCAAAGGGGAUUAGAUACCCCCGUAGUCCACGCCCCAAACGAUGUUCACUUGGUGUCGGGAGCCUAUAUAUCUCGGUGCCGGAGCUAACGCGUUAAGUGAACCGCCUGAGGAGUACGGCCGCAAGGCUAAAACUCAAGAGAAUUGACGGGUCCCCGCACAAGCGGUGGAGCACGUGGUUUAAUUCGAUGAUAAGCGAAGAACCUCACCUGGGCUUGACAUACUAGUGGUAAGAACCGGAAACGGUGAUGACCCUACCUUCGGGUAGGGAGCUAAUACAGGUGAUGCAUGGCUGUCGUCAGCUCGUGUCGUGGGAUGUAGGGUUAAGUCCCGAAACGAGCGCAACCCUUGUCACUAGUUGCCAGCGGAUAAUGCCGGGGACUCUAGUGAGACUGCUGGUGAAUAGCCGGAGGAAGGCGGGGAUGACGUCAAGUCAUCAUGUCCCUUAUGCCCAGGGCGACACACA